UCUCAAGUCGCUGUCGCUGUUCUGCUUCUUUCUCUUUGGCUUCUACUUCUCUUACAAGCUUAGGCAUGCUUGUUGAUUGCUGAUGCGUAAACACGCCAAGCACACAAAAUCAAAAACCACACUGUUCCUAGCAAAUGCUCAUCUAGAUAUGAUAUUGAAGCAACAAAAUUUACCAGUAAGAUAUUGAACUGCUCUGAAAGAAUAUCUGAUACUAUGAAACGAUUGGUCACCACAAAACCGAAGAGAGAAAAUCAAAUUUGCUCAUCUGAUGGAAGGAGGGUAGAAGGGAUCAUGAUAACUUCUUCCAGGUUGGCAGUCCAACACAAAAGGAUAUAUUGGUCUGCCAUGAAUAAUCUAUAUCCACAACAUAUCAACAAGCAUUCAUAUGUGCAAGUGAAAAAAGGGAGAACACACAACACAGUGCACGCUAACUGCAUCCUCAUGAUAAUUCCCUUAUAGGAAAAGCAACUACCAAAACCCAGUAUCCUCAAAGGUCAAGGAGAGGAAACUUGGAAGUGAUAUAUAGACAAACGGUUAAACAAAUCUCUUAUAGGAGUCCAACAGACAGAAAGACAAAUGCGUCACUCACUAUUCUCAAAGUGUCAAACAAAUAAAUAACCGGAAGCUGUCCCGUUAACUUGUCAUCCCAACUGAAUGUGGGUUUCUGCAACACAUGCUUAGGUCAAGUUUUCUCGCAACAAAUUAACAAACUUUAUGCAAAAGCAUGAUAGUUCCGAGACCCAAAAGAAGUCCCAGAUUCUGCUUGUAGCAAGCGAGGCCGGAAAAGGAAUACUCUUCCCCGCCCAUAGUUUAGCAUACAGAGAAAUUCCCAAUAAAACCGACCCAAUCACCCCCUCCGGGACGCUGACCCUCCCUGUUCUGUUCAUGAACUUCAAGAACAACGGGAAAGAACCGAGAACCAGAGCACCAGACGAGACACCGCAAAACCACGAUAUACCCAAAAGAAAGAAAGAAACACAACCAAAAAAAGAGCAGAGAUGGCGGCUGAAGAACGAAACCUUACCAAGAACGAGAAGAGCUCCGAGUCCAACCCUCUGUUUCUUCGGGUUCGUGAACAGAGCUUUCCUUUCUUGCUUCUUUUUCCUGGGCGUCUAAACUCCACCCGUCUCUGUCGCGAGCUUCCCGAUUUGACCGACGCCUGCCGACGAAUUUAAAGACCCUGGAUCGUCAAGCCGCGCGGGCGAGAAAUCGCGGCAGAUUUUCUCCCGACUCUGAGGAAAAACCGAAAGCCACACAGCUCCAGCGUUUUCCCACUAAAACAAUAGGAAUAGGCGGCGGCUAGGGUUCCGGCGUUGAGACGAGGGGUGGGGAAGGCGACGGCGAGGCGGAGGCGCGUCGAUCGGAGGGCGGCAGCGGAAUCCACGAGAAGCGCAGUCGUCGGAGAAGAAGCCGAAGGGGAGGGGUUCUCGAAAACACGUCUGUUUAGUGUUUAGUGUUUGUGUUUGGUGACUUGUUUGGAAAUUGGAACAAGGGUGUUAACGUGUUUCGGGUCGAACAAUGUUCCAACCCUAAACCCGACCCGAAACAUGUAUUCCGCUUGUUUCAUGUUUGUUAC
rnacentral:lncRNA from 1 species